rnacentral:rRNA from 1 species
UUUUAUUUGAGAGUUUGAUCCUGGCUCAGGAUGAACGCUGGCGGCGUGCCUAACACAUGCAAGUUGAGCGAUUUACUUCGGUAAAGAGCGGCGGACGGGUGAGUAACGCGUGGGUAACCUACCCUGUACACACGGAUAACAUACCGAAAGGUAUGCUAAUACGGGAUAAUAUAUUUGAGAGGCAUCUCUUGAAUAUCAAAGGUGAGCCAGUACAGGAUGGACCCGCGUCUGAUUAGCUAGUUGGUAAGGUAACGGCUUACCAAGGCGACGAUCAGUAGCCGACCUGAGAGGGUGAUCGGCCACAUUGGAACUGA